rnacentral:rRNA from 1 species
GACGAACGCUGGCGGCGUGCCUAAUACAUGCAAGUAGAACGCACAGUUUAUACCGUAGCUUGCUACACCAUAAACUGUGAGUUGCGAACGGGUGAGUAACGCGUAGGUAACCUGCCUGGUAGCGGGGGAUAACUAUUGGAAACGAUAGCUAAUACCGCAUAAUAUUGAUUAUUGCAUGAUAAUUAAUUGAAAGAUGCUAUUGCAUCACUACCAGAUGGACCUGCGUUGUAUUAGCUAGUAGGUGAGGUAACGGCUCACCUAGGCGACGAUACAUAGCCGACCUGAGAGGGUGAUCGGCCACACUGGGACUGAGACACGGCCCAGACUCCUACGGGAGGCAGCAGUAGGGAAUCUUCGGCAAUGGACGAAAGUCUGACCGAGCAACGCCGCGUGAGUGAAGAAAGUUUUCGGAUCGUAAAGCUCUGUUGUAAGAGAAGAACGGGUGUGAGAGUGGAAAGUUCACACUGUGACGGUAUCUUACCAGAAAGGGACGGCUAACUACGUG